rnacentral:lncRNA from 1 species
AUUAGAAUGAUGUUCCUCUUUUUCUUUUUUCCUGUCAAUAGUGCGCUUGGUGACCUAAUCUUUGAUGCUGUCACAUCAUGGAGAUUAUAGUGUAUCACUGACUCAGCACCAAGGUGAUGUAAUGUGACACUUCUGACUAUGCCCAGCCUACAAAUAAGACUAUACUGUAUAACUGGCUCAACACCCAGGUGAUGAAAAUCUCCUCUAUGGAAUGGACCCUGCACAAAGGAGGGAUAGUUACUUAUUGCAAGACCAGGCACACAGAUAUAGUAUCUACGUAA